GUCGAAUCGAUUUAUUUUUAGCUCCAUUGUUCUACUUGACUCUUAAGCCAUAGAUAAUGCACGAGUAUAAUAAAAUACAGUAAAAGUACAGCAGCGCAAACAGUAGAAUCACUCAAACAGACGGAUGAACACAGGUGUGUGCACAUAUCAAUCCUCAGUGUAUAGGUGAGCCGCGAGCUUGGGAUCCACGACGGCUUCCACCGGGAACUUGCGCGGCGUGGACAUCCCAAAUAUCUCCUCCAUGCUGAGCUCCUGCAUUGCCAUGCCAUCUGGGAGCCUCCAGGCAAAGCCGUGCAGCAGGUUAGCGAGGCUGACCUGAAUCACCUUCAGUCCGAGGUUGUACCCAGGGCACAUCCGCCUGCCGGACCCAAACGGCAGCAACUCGAAAU